AGUCGCCGCGGGAAUACAGAGGGUGCAAGCGUUAAUCGGAAUUACUGGGCGUAAAGCGCGCGUAGGUGGUUUGUUAAGUUGGAUGUGAAAUCCCCGGGCUCAACCUGGGAACUGCAUCCAAAACUGGCAAGCUAGAGUAUGGUAGAGGGUGGUGGAAUUUCCUGUGUAGCGGUGAAAUGCGUAGAUAUAGGAAGGAACACCAGUGGCGAAGGCGACCACCUGGACUGAUACUGACACUGAGGUGCGAAAGCGUGGGGAGCAAACAGGAUUAGAUACCCGUGUAGUCCCUGUCUCUUAUACA
rnacentral:rRNA from 1 species